rnacentral:rRNA from 1 species
AGAGUUUGAUCCUGGCUCAGAUUGAACGCUGGCGGAAUGCUUUACACAUGCAAGUCGAGCGGCAGCGCGGGGGCAACCCUGGCGGCGAGCGGCGAACGGGUGAGUAAUGUAUCGGAACGUACCCAGUCGUGGGGGAUAACUAUCCGAAAGGAUAGCUAAUACCGCAUACGUCCUGAGGGAGAAAGCGGGGGACCGUAAGGCCUCGCGCGAUUGGAGCGGCCGAUAUCGGAUUAGCUAGCUGGUGAGGUAAAGGCUCACCAAGGCGACGAUCCGUAGCUGGUCUGAGAGGACGACCAGCCACACUGGAACUGAGACACGGUCCAGACUCCUACGGGAGGCAGCAGUGGGGAAUUUUGGACAAUGGGGGCAACCCUGAUCCAGCCAUUCCGCGUGAGUGAAGAAGGCCUUCGGG